CGGAGCGCGGCGCUCCGCACCUUGACCGGCGGCACCGGGCGGGCCGGGCCGGGGCGGCUCCGGUACCGGGGGCGGGCGCCGCUCUUUGACCCUCGGGUUGGUCGGGGAGCCCGGUUUUGUCGGGAAAGCCGGAUCCGCGCCGGGAUGCGGACAAAGACACGGAGCAGCUGUUCGGGAAUAAAGCUGAAAUAGUAGAACCUGGGAGAGAAGUUAGCUUGGGGGAGCUAUUAUUUUCGCCGCAAAACCCUCGGGAGGUAUUAAACAGCUGCAUCCAAACGACGGAGCGACCCAAAGGCCGGGAUCCCACCGCCUCGCCGUCGAGCAGCGGGCGCGUGGCUCAGCGCACGGCCGCAGGUGGAGCAGCCCCGGCCCCGCAGCCCCUCUCCAAUGAUGGGUGUAAUGUAACGUGGCUGCCGCGGGACACAACGCCGGGACGCGGGCGCUGGGUCUGGCUGUCGGUGACGUCUGGCUGGCUGGGUGCUGGCUGUAGGGUUCGGGGGAUGGAAGGAAGGGGGUAAAAAUCAAUCUUUGCCUCCACUAGGUUCCUCUGCAAAGAGCAGCGUAGCAGAGCGGUUGGGAGAGCUGUGCUGGACAGAGGACGGCCGGCCGCGAGCGGAGCCUCCCACCGGCGAGCAUUGCCAGGCGAGGAGAGAAAACCUGGGCAGCCUUAAAACACUCAGAGUGUAAUGUGACGCUUCCAAACCUUUGCAGCCUGCGGUAAGCCGAGGGAAGCAAUGAGUAACCUUUGCUUUCAAGUGAAAACGGUGCGGUGGUAACAUCCCGAUGGAGCCCGUGCGCAUCGGGCAUUGUUUGGAAUUCUUGCCAUAUUUUAACCUCUGCCGUGUUGGCUGCUCGCAGGAACAAGCUGAGCGCUCCGAGAUAACACUGCGUUUUGUCAGAUGCUUUAUAACGUUGUUUAGAGACGUGCUCGGAUCUAUUUAGUGCUUCAUAAAUAUGAAUAAAGCGUUUACAAAAGGCACGUCACCGCAGAAGUAACCGUGGAUUAUGCCAGCUGCUCGCAGUUUACACGUUACAAAUUUCCUAAACUGUUCUGAACUACAUUUUACCGGGGGCGUUUUUACCCGCGAUUAAAUACAACUCAGCGCUGCCCAGCAAAUAUCUCUGUUGAUUUAUGUAUAGGAAAUCGGGGAAUCAGCAUUGGCCCAAACCCCAAAUUACUGCUGAAGCAGUUUCAAAUAUUUAUGGACCUGUUAUGGGAGGAGAGAGGAAUGUCAUGUUUUUUUUUUUCCCAAGGCCUCGCUGUGCGCAGACCGAUUUUCUCAGCCGUUUCCGCCCCGGGUGCGGGGUGCCCUGCAGCCCCCCCAGCACAGAUGGGUUUGUGAUGUGAUUGCUGUGCUGUUGGCUGCAGGACAGUGCGGGUUGCAGCCCUGGGUUGCUGUAGGCUCAGCCAUGGUAGUGUGGUUGCAAUCCUGCUGCCCUCCGGCCCUCAGUGCUUUUGUUUGUCCUGGAAAAACGCAGCGCGGUCCCGCAAGGCCUUGCGUUUGUGCUGGGCAUGAAUUUUGCACUGUCCGUUUUAUUUUACCCUCUUGUUUUGUGUUGUUGAUUUUGGUUUGCUUUUUUUUUUUUUUUUUUUUUUUCUGGGUUCCCUCCUAGCACACACGCAGUCUUCCUCAGGGGUCCCCAAAAGGAGUUGUGCCACUCCCUGAGCAUCCCCCAGCCCAGCAUGGUGUUGGGAUGCAGGCAGAAGCCUCGGUGGGUGCAGGGCUGUGCCAGGAGCAGCCACCGUUUCUACUGCAGAUGUGAACAGGGGGUGCCCAGCUGGGUGGAAGGUACUCCCCCAUGUAUUGUGGUGGUCGUGAAGUCCCAUUCAAGUGAUGCUCUGCACACCGUUGGGCUUCUCUCUCUCCCCCCGGCCCCCACCCCCACCCCCACCCCCCCCCCCAAAAAAAAAAAAAAGAAAAAGAAAAAGAAAAAACACACACACGGAAAACACAACCCCAGUGUGAGCAUCCUCCUUUUCUCCUUCUUGCAGGGCGAAAGUCUGCUCGAGGAGCCUGAAGACGCACCAUCCCCACUUAUCGCCCCAGAGGCAGGCUAUCUAGCUGACAAGCUGUGCGGUGAAAAACCAGGUGCCCAUGUGCCUGCUGCUCACCCAAGGCCUGAAAGGGAUCAGCUGCUCAUUUUGCAGAGCAAAGUAAGAUGGCAACAAGGAACAUGCAGGGACCUUGUUGUAUCUGUAUGGAUGGACAUAUAUGUGCGUAUGAAGAAAUGGACUGACCGGAGGGGGGAAAUAUCAAAAAAAGUGUGCCUAGAUUGAUGAAAAACAAGCAUUUAUUGUGACACUGACAGCCAAAAAAUGGGCUAUUUCAAGCAAAAUGUCGUGGUCUGAAAACCCCAAAGCCACCAGGACAUUCUGCAAUGAAGUCACAUCACCUGACUCAUGCUUGGGUGACAGUGUUGGGGCCGCACCGCGAUAUGGGGCACUCGCGCCCAUCCCAGCCUCAGAAACCUCCAGUGCCAGACUUUUUACAAAACCCCCAGGUAACCUCUCCUGGCGCUGAACUCUCUUUAUAGUUUGACAUUUUAGCUCAUAUCUAACCUACAUUUCUUUUUUCUUUUUUUUUUUAUGCUGCAAAUUAAGCUGAUUAUUUCUCGUUCUACCCCCAGUGGAUCCAGAGAACAACUCAUCGUGUUUUUCUCUGCAACAGCCUUUUACAUCUUGGAAUACUGUUACCACCUCCUCGUUCCUAAAUUAAACAAACCCAGUUUCAUUGGUCUAUUCUCCUAGGUUAAUGUUUCUAAACUUCUUCCUUGUUCUUGCCCUUCUCCAAACUUUUCUCCCAUCCUUUUUGAAGUUCAGCAUCCAAAAUGGGGCACAGCCCUUGAAACCCAGCUCCCCGCUGCCGAUCAACCUGAUCCAGCUCUCCAAUGAUCACAACACAGAACGGGCUUUCUCCUCUUUCCCCAUUCUUUUCCCCAUCAUUUGUGGUUCAGUGCAAACCCCGGCUCCUUCGCUGGAAUACUGCUAUGGAAUCGCAUUUUGGUAAUGACACUCUGAUGGAUUUUAAAUGCAUUUCUCUGCUGUGACACAGCUGAGGUUUGCAACACAGCUGAAAAGAAGGUGAAAAAUCUCUACCUGGUGCCACACAAAUGAACGUAUGUAAUCUUUUUCGUUUCAGUAAACUCGCUUUUAAAAUGUCUAGGUUUUAGCAUCGCAGACAUAAUCCUCUUUUGAAAUACAUAUUACAACAUCGUAAGUAUUCUUUAGGGCUUUGGAAAUCGUGCCUUAAUAAAGUCAUAUCCAAACCUGUAAUGUUACAGCCACUGUCAGAUGUUAAGAACUCCGCAGUACAAAUUACCAUCCAGAAUUGCUGCGUAUGGGUCAGGUUUUCAGGUGAGAGGAAGGACCUUCUGUGGUUAAUUUGAAAUACAAGCAAUGCCCUUUGUUCACUCAGAACCACGUGGCUCAUUAAAAUGGAACAAAAUUUGGAAAACUAAGGUUGGUUAUGGCUUGUACUGCUGUUUUACCAUUUGUACUUCACUGCCUGUGGAUGAUUUCCAAACUUGCUCCGCACAUAUGUUUGUAAUAAAAAUAAUACCGUG
rnacentral:lncRNA from 1 species